AGUGAACGCUGGCGGUAGGCCUAACACAUGCAAGUCGAACGGCAGCACAGUAAGAGCUUGCUCUUACGGGUGGCGAGUGGCGGACGGGUGAGGAAUACAUCGGAAUCUACUUUUUCGUGGGGGAUAACGUAGGGAAACUUACGCUAAUACCGCAUACGACCUACGGGUGAAAGCAGGGGAUCUUCGGACCUUGCGCGAUUGAAUGAGCCGAUGUCGGAUUAGCUAGUUGGCGGGGUAAAGGCCCACCAAGGCGACGAUCCGUAGCUGGUCUGAGAGGAUGAUCAGCCACACUGGAACUGAGACACGGUCCAGACUCCUACGGGAGGCAGCAGUGGGGAAUAUUGGACAAUGGGCGCAAGCCUGAUCCAGCCAUACCGCGUGGGUGAAGAAGGCCUUCGGGUUGUAAAGCCCUUUUGUUGGGAAAGAGAAGCAGCAGGUUAAUACCCCGCUGCUCUGACGGUACCCAAAGAAUAAGCACCGGCUAACUUCGUG
rnacentral:rRNA from 1 species